rnacentral:rRNA from 1 species
AUUGAACGCUGGCGGCAUGCCUUACACAUGCGAGUCGAACGGCAGCACGGGUGCUUGCACCUGGUGGCGAGUGGCGAACGGGUGAGUAAUACAUCGGAACAUGUCCUGUAGUGGGGGAUAGCCCGGCGAAAGCCGGAUUAAUACCGCAUACGAUCUACGGAUGAAAGCGGGGGACCUUCGGGCCUCGCGCUAUAGGGUUGGCCGAUGGCUGAUUAGCUAGUUGGUGGGGUAAAGGCCUACCAAGGCGACGAUCAGUAGCUGGUCUGAGAGGACGACCAGCCACACUGGGACUGAGACACGGCCCAGACUCCUACGGGAGGCAGCAGUGGGGAAUUUUGGACAAUGGGCGAAAGCCUGAUCCAGCAAUGCCGCGUGUGUGAAGAAGGCCUUCGGGUUGUAAAGCACUUUUGUCCGGAAAGAAAUCCUUGGCCCUAAUACGGUCGGGGGAUGACGGUGCCGGAAGAAUAAGCACCGGCUAACUACGUG